AGAUUGAACGCUGGCGGCAGGCCUAACACAUGCAAGUCGAACGGUAACAGGAAGAAGCUUGCUUCUUUGCUGACGAGUGGCGGACGGGUGAGUAAUGUCUGGGAAACUGCCUGAUGGAGGGGGAUAACUACUGGAAACGGUAGCUAAUACCGCAUAACGUCGCAAGACCAAAGAGGGGGACCUUCGGGCCUCUUGCCAUCGGAUGUGCCCAGAUGGGAUUAGCUAGUAGGUGGGGUAACGGCUCACCUAGGCGACGAUCCCUAGCUGGUCUGAGAGGAUGACCAGCCACACUGGAACUGAGACACGGUCCAGACUCCUACGGGAGGCAGCAGUGGGGAAUAUUGCACAAUGGGCGCAAGCCUGAUGCAGCCAUGCCGCGUGUAUGAAGAAGGCCUUCGGGUUGUAAAGUACUUUCAGCGGGGAGGAAGGGAGUAAAGUUAAUACCUUUACUCAUUGACGUUACCCGCAGAAGAAGCACCGGCUAACUCCGUGCCAGCAGCCGCGGUAAUACGGAGGGUGCAAGCGUUAAUCGGAAUUACUGGGCGUAAAGCGCACGCAGGCGGUUUGUUAAGUCAGAUGUGAAAUCCCCGGGCUCAACCUGGGAACUGCAUCUGAUACUGGCAAGCUUGAGUCUCGUAGAGGGGGGUAGAAUUCCAGGUGUAGCGGUGAAAUGCGUAGAGAUCU
rnacentral:rRNA from 1 species